rnacentral:lncRNA from 1 species
GUUUCCAAGAUCUGUGGUAAUUCUGAACAUUCUGAAAAGGAAAGUAGAAGCUAUAGGCUAAACCAGCUCUACCCAACACUUUCUUAAAUUUAGCAGAAUUUAAAAAUACCUUGGCUUUCAAGUCAGAACCCUACUUUUUACAGUUCUUUUUCAUUCAAUAAAUACUAAGAAAGCAUUAUGGUAGAAGCUGAGGCUACAAUUGUGAAGGAGAUUUGGAGAAAAGAAUGCCUGCCAAUAGAAUAUAACACUCACACACACAAAAUGCCUUAGGAAGGGAAACAAAGUAAGGGGAAAA